rnacentral:rRNA from 1 species
GACGAACGCUGGCGGCGUGCUUAACACAUGCAAGUCGAACGGAAAGGCCCUGCUUUUGUGGGGUGCUCGAGUGGCGAACGGGUGAGUAACACGUGAGUAACCUGCCCUUGACUUUGGGAUAACUUCAGGAAACUGGGGCUAAUACCGGCUAGGAGCUCCUGCUGCAUGGUGGGGGUUGGAAAGUUUCGGCGGUUGGGGAUGGACUUGGGGCUUAGCAGCUUGUUGGUGGGGUAGAGGCUUACCAAGGCGUUGACGGGUAGCCGGCCUGAGAGGAUGAUCGGUAACAGGGGAACGGAGACACGGUGCAGACUCAUACGGGAGGGAGCAGUGGGGAAUAGGGGACAAGGGGCGAAAGCCGGAUCCAGCCAUGCCGCGUGUGGGAAGAAGGUCUUCGGAUUGUAAAGCACUUUAAGUUGGGAGGAAGGGCAGUAAGUUAAUACCUUGCUGGUUUGACGUUACCAACAGAAUAAGCACCGGCUAACUUCGUG